GAUGAACGCUGGCGGCGUGCCUAAUACAUGCAAGUCGAGCGAACAGACGAGGAGCUUGCUCCUCUGACGUUAGCGGCGGACGGGUGAGUAACACGUGGAUAACCUACCUAUAAGACUGGGAUAACUUCGGGAAACCGGAGCUAAUACCGGAUAAUAUAUUGAACCGCAUGGUUCAAUAGUGAAAGACGGUUUUGCUGUCACUUAUAGAUGGAUCCGCGCCGCAUUAGCUAGUUGGUAAGGUAACGGCUUACCAAGGCAACGAUGCGUAGCCGACCUGUGAGGGUGAUCGGCCACACUGGAACUUAGACUCGGUCCAGACUCCUACGGGAGGCAGCAGUAGGGAAUCUUCCGCGAUGGGCCAAAGCCUGACGGAGCAACGCCGCGUGAGAGAUGAAGGUCUUCGGAUCGUAAAACUCUGUUAUUAGGGAAGAACAAAUGCGUAAGUAACUAUGCACGUCUUGACGGUACCUAAUCAGAAAGCCACGGCUAACUACGUG
rnacentral:rRNA from 1 species